AAUUAGCUUAUGAAGGUUUCAUUAUUUCGGGUCAAAUGGUACUUUACCAUUUCCUUGAGUAUAUAUCAUAUAUGCACUCAAUGUAGUCAUAAGGAUUUUCAUUCUUAUUUCUUUCGAAUUAAGAGGUGCAACUCUAUGACAUAGUCAUAAAGUUCAAAACCAUUCAACUGAGACGGUUUAUAAAUCCUUCUCGACUACCUUGGAGCUUUUGGUAUAGGAACUAGGUUGUUAUAUUUGUUGAUUACUUUCUUGUCUCUCAAAGAACCCAUUCUUUGAGUUCUAUCUCUCGUUUAUUUGCUUUUAGGCAAAUCACAUUGUAGGAUUACAAUGAACUACUCAACAAAACAACAUUUGUUAGUUGGUUUAUAGAAGCGAUAUCCAAAAGUUAAUUUAAGGAUAUCCCACAAGAUUGUUAUCAAACAAAUAUUGCUUAUUAGCACACAACCUCAAAUCUUAACAUGCUUAAGAUUUGUCUUUCUUUCCAACUACAUCUUAUGGAGUCAUGAAAAUAUUGGAAGAUCUUCUAAUUUACAAUCAUAUUGUUUUAGAAGUAUAUAUCCUAUAUAUGGGUAAUAGAUAACAUCUAACGAACUAAAUCUUAUUCGAGUUCGUUCUUCUCCUAAAGGAGAAAAUUCAUUAUCUUAUGAUGCUAUUUUCCUUGAUAUCUUUCAAGAAAACUAUUCUAAAGUGUUACCAUUCCUUGGAUCAAAUCUAAGGAUGUAAAUACUUUAGAUGUCUUACUCAUCAACUUACAUUUCUUGAAUUCUUUGAAACCUUUUGCAAAGUAUUCGAACUUGUGUUUAUUCAAAAUAAACUAUAGUCCAACCGAGAGUGAUCUUCGGUGAAUGUCAUAUAACAUGAGUAGUAUUAUGUUGUGGACAAGUGCCACUAACAUCUAAGUGAAUUAACCUCAACAACUUUGUGAUUCUUUCUUCUUUCCAAAAAGAAUAAAGAUUCGAACAUUUCGCCUCUAUACAAUUUUAACAAGAAGGUAUUGGAUCCGGAUCUAACGAUCCAAAACAUCCAUCUAUGACCAACUCGUAAUUUAUGUUUUAGAGGUAUCACAACUUUAGUUGGGAUUAGUCACUACCUUGCAACCUUUUGGGUUUUAAGCAUCGUUAUAUUCUAAACAGUUAACACUACCAUAUCAUCUCUACUAUAGAGACAAUUAAUUAGAUUACUAUAAUCCAAUCAUUGAUUAAUAAAGAACAAUGUUUUGUCAAACAAAACAUUCAUCCAUCUCUACUUUAGUGACGGAAUUAAAUUCCUUAAAAUUGGAAUGUAAAGACAAUCUUUGGUAGUUCAUAUGAGGAAGUAAGUACUAUCUGCUUUCGCAGAGAUCUAUAUUUUAUUCACGUUCCGAAUGUGAAGUACCUUUUCUUCUCUCAUAUAUCUUCUACUUCUUAUUAGUCACACGUUUACAAUGAUUGUAAAACAUAGUUACUAAUACGGAAUCAAGCAUUCAAGUAGAAGAACCAACUGUUUUGAACUAUUCAAGAACAAUUUACAACACCUUCGAAAGGUGUGUUCUUGACACUUGCAAGACAUCUCUUGCAAAUACCCCUUCCAAUGUCCAUCCUUUCAUAAAGAAAGUUUGUUCCCUUGGAGUUAAUUUAAUCUUCUUCAUUUGACUUCUCCUUUGACUACAAUAGUCAUGGUCCCUAAACUCCCACCAUCUCUCUUGAAACUUAUUUCAAUUUGGAGAGCGUGUGGUUAUUGUUCACUAUAUAGUUUACAAUAAACUUAGUGAACCAUUAGGAUAGGGACACAUAGGUGAAGUCCUUGCCUAGUUUCCGUCUCGUUAAGUGGUUUAUCACUUCAACACUCAAUGAUUCAAAAUCAUCAUAAGUCCAUGUUAAUGGACUAUUUUUGUCAACCAACCAUUAUGUUCUAAACAUAAUUACAAACUUUCAAGAGUUGUUCAAGGCAACUCUCAUUUCUUCAUACAACAAUUUGUAAGUGAAGAAUCAUGGCACAUAAAGUGUCCAUGCCUUUGUGCUUUCUUUUCAAGUUCUUUGUUCAUUUAACAAAGAAACAAGCACUAGUGUUUGCAUUGACUAAGGGUUGUUCAAAGCAACUAUUAUUUCUUCAUACAACGAUUUGUAAGUGAAGAACUAAUAACACUAAAAGUGUCUUUGUCAUUAUGCUAAUCUUCGUAAGUUCCUUUGUUCAUUUAACAAAGGAUUAAGCAUUGGUUGUUUGUGUUGUCCUCUUCAUGAUAGACUUAUCUAACAUGUUCUUUCAAUGAUACAUUACCAAUAGAACGAUUUUGAGGAUGAGACUACUUAGGUACAUAUACAAUCCAUUUAAGACAAUCUUUGGGAUUGUGUUACCAAGU
rnacentral:lncRNA from 1 species